AAUUAUGCUUAUUCGACGCAGUUUUGCUUCAAACAAACGAAUCUGGCAGAAAAAAGCGUCGCUCUGCCCCGGGAAAUGAGAUAUUAAUCGAAAACGGUUGAACGGUUCACCAAACGUUUUCGUUCGCGACCACCAAACGAUUGCGGAUUGAAUGAGCUACUUGAAAUUCAAAUUGGUGCAAAAAUAAACAAUGGGCUAACUUCACACCUAAAUUUUAUUUUUUAUAUUACAAGAGAACGACUAACCACCAAAUGAUUUAACUGGACUACCAAAAACCACUAAACGACCACCAAACGAUACCAAUUAGUGAAAAUUAAUAAAGCUGAAGUUGGAUGGUUAACUUCACAGAGAUGAUUUUCAGUAGUGGCAGUGAAUAUUGGAACGCAGCUUAUAUUUAAAUAUUUAUUGCUAUAUAAUUUUCAUGCAAUAAAUUUUUGUUGAUUUAUAAUAUAUAUGCAUUAAUUAUGAAAAA